AUUGUUUGUGGGUUCCCUUCCUUGACUUAUGGGUCCCCCCCCACACUUAUGGGGUGUCCCCCCCCUGCCCCAUAGAUACCUUCUCCAGCAACGCCUUCACUUCCCAUUCCUGCCUCUGCUUCCGGCUGCGCACCCAUAGGUGGCAAUGGGGGCACCCACCUGGGACCAAGAUGCUGGUGAAGCCAUGAGCAUGCCCAGUGCCAAGGACGUCCUCAUAGGGGCAGAAGCGAAGGGCACUUGUGGGGCCAGGGGGGCGAUGGCACAGGCUGCAGCCAGGAGCCCACGUUGGCUGAAGUCAAGGUGUGAGGCCCCCAUAGGGAGCACCAGAUCCUGCAGCGCCCCAUAAGUGCGGAGGUCCCAUAGCCGGACCUUGCGGUCCAGCCCUGCUGAUGCCAUGUACCUGAUGGGGACACCCCAUAGGAGACACUGCUAUGUGGG